CAUCUUUGUUUUUGCAUAACCAGUGUGACAUCAGCUCCAGGAUCUACUCCAACUCACAUCAGUAUGAGCCUUGUUGCAAUAUUCCAGAUUCCUGCUUGGAUGCUCACUUGACAACAACCUUCUCCAUAAAUCCCUGAAGCUGAAAACAGUUCCUGAUGUCUUUCCUUUGGAUAUACCUGGCUCUGUUGUUUAUCCUGCAAAAUGCUGUUUCAUCAGAUCAAGUGGUUGCACUGGAAUGCCCCAAGAACGUAACAGUCACAAAAGGAGGCCAAAUGACAAUAAACUGUACAAUAAAUUGGAACAAUAACAAGAGCUGUACCGGUACAGAUUACUUUUGGAAAAACGAAAAUGAUAUAAUUAAAUGUCCGGACAGCUCAUCAACAACAUAUUUCUGUGACUGGGAUCACAUUAACUACAUCUUCCUGAACAUCUCUGAUGUUCAAAAAGAAGAAAAUUUCACAGUUGGAAUUAGGGCCCCCUGUGGUUUGGAUGACCAGUUAGUCAUUCUUCAGAUCCUGUGUGAGUGACCUUUAGCAUCUGAAAGUCUAUUUUCUUUUCACCUAUGAAAAAAAAAUAAGAUUAACAAAAUGUGUUUUCACUUUUUUAGCUGAAUCGAGCCAAUUCAAGGAGAGCCCGAAACAGGAGGGGAGCCGGGAACAGGAGCUGAACCAGUCAUAUCUGAUUCCCAGCAUAGUGGGUGUUCUCGUUGCAGUCGUUGUCGCGGCCAUUUUGACUGUUCUUAUUAGAAAACACAAAGAAAACUCACACCAGAAAGUGAAUCAAGAAACUCCUCAGGAUGUUUGAUGAUAUCCCUUAGAGAUGCAAGAUAUUUUUGCUCUUUCUUGCUCUUUGGAACCUACAAAGGUUCCCAUGGUUGUGGCGUGUCCGCUGACCUGAAACCUGGACAGUUUGCGUCCGCAUGCUGAAGCUGCUGCUGGUAGCGGCUGUAUGUAAAAAUAAACGGCUUUAAUCUACAAGCUUUUUAUCCAUAGAGUGGGUCAGUGCUGAAGCCAGACACAAGGAAAUACAGAUGGAGAUUGAAGUGUUAAUACUUUAUAUGUUCACACUGGCAAUUGUUAUAAAAGAAAGUUAUUUCUCACAUUUCUGUUGCUCUAAAUAUGACUACAUUUUACUCUCAGGAAGUGUCCUUUGCCUACUCCAGAUAUGUUCCUGUAGCACUAGUUACACUUAUUACCAUCCUCUCCUCUUUGUUGUUAUAGCUCAAAAAGGAUGUAGAAAUGUUUUAAAUUUAUUCAUAUUUGAUCACCAGCUCCAUUUGGCAUAUAUGCUCAUAUUAACUUAGUUAUAUGUAUAGUAGUGUGUGUUAUUGGGAGUAUGUAUUAGUUUUAUACAGUAAGACUGUAUAACAUUAACCUUGUGUGGAGGAUAUUAGUGAAGUAGAGUCUUCCCCCAGAUGCAGGAUGUCUAACAGCCUCACACCAUUUUCAUACGGUCUCCAUGGUGACCAGUGUUGGGUGGGUUAUCUUAAAUGUAGCUGGCUACAAUAAGAAGUUACUUAAAAUAAUACUAUUUUAGCUAAUUCAGUUCAUUUGAUAAAGUAUUUCACAUUAUUUUGUUUAUUAUACUUUUCAAUGUAUUUGGGGUCUUUUAUAGGUUGGUGGUUUUGAUAUCUUCAGGUUGUAAAAUGAUAAGGAGAGAUGAAAGCUUUAAGAGAAGCCGAUCUUCUGGAUCUGGUCUUAUUAAAGUCCAGUUUUUCAUAGAGAUGAGACUCGCUUUUGAGAAAUUAAUGCAGUCAGAAUGCAAAUGAUGUAAUGAUCUGAGUUUGAAUGUUUUCUUUCUUCUGGAAAGUGUUAUGCUUUGGUUCAUUGUUUUUGUCAUCAGAACAAGGCAACCAGAUGUUGCUGUUUUUCUUGUAAUUUUACAUAAAUUGGCAAAUUUGUACUUUUGUUUGGUAUGUCUUUUGUUUCUGACUAUGCAAAUGUGAAAAGUUGUCUUGGAAAUGUAUCCAACAGAAAGAAAUGGAGGGUACUUUGAAAAUGACAUUAUUACCUAUGAAUCUUCUAGUAUAACAACUUAUUCAAGUUGGAGCUAAAACUUUUGUUCCACAUCUCUUUAACCUGACCGGAAGUGACUUAGAAGUAGGUCUUCAUAAAGGUGAGCUGGCAGCACACAAACAAUAACACUGAUGUCAUUUAGCUCGAAUGUUUGUCUAUGAAAUUCAUUUUAUCUUACCCUUUUCUACCUCCUUGUCAGGAUAGAAGUAGGAUUUGCUUUUUAUGUAUAAUGGACUGAAUAAACUACUACAAUUAAAAAGCA